AUUGAACGCUGGCGGCAGGCCUAACACAUGCAAGUCGAACGAGUGGCGGACGGGUGAGUAAUGUCUGGGAAACUGCCUGAUGGAGGGGGAUAACUACUGGAAACGGUAGCUAAUACCGCAUACCAUCGGAUGUGCCCAGAUGGGAUUAGCUGGUAGGUGGGGUAACGGCUAACCCGGGCGACGAUCCCUAGCUGGUCUGAGAGGAUGACAAGCCACACGGGAACUGGGCCACGGUCCAGAUGCCUACGGUAGGCAGCAGGGGGGAAUAUUGCACAAUGGGCGCAAGCCUGAUGCAGCCAUGCCGCGUGUAUGAAGAAGGCCUUCGGGUUGUAAAGUACUUUCAGCGGGGAGGCGUUACCCGCAGAAGAAGCACCGGCUAACUCCGUGCCAGCCGCCGCGGUAAUUC
rnacentral:rRNA from 1 species